CCCAAGUGGACUUCUGGAUCAGUGUGCUUUUGCAGAGCGGUCUUCCAGCCAGAGCCGUGCGCUAGCUAAAGUAAUCAAAAAGCCGAAAAAACGGAGAGAGGGAGAGAGAGAGAGAGAGAGAGAGAGAGAGAGAGAGAGAGAGAGAGAGAGAGGGAUAAAAUGGUUAAACGGCGGGUCGGUGCCGUUAUGACAGACAAAACUGCACCGUAGAGGCGUAAUGGAAAAUCCUGACUCGUGCUCGGCGCGGAAUACAUAAAGGCGAGGAGUGAAAGCGCUUUCAAUAACGGCUCCCUGCCUUGAAUUAAUCACUCACUGUUUAAUGGAUCUUUGAGGUUCGCGCUUGACGCAGUGAGGAACUGCAGCUCUUUGUAUUCUGAGGCAGAGAGAGAGAGAGAGAGAGAGGGAGAGAGAGAGAGAGAGAGAGAGAGAGAGAGACCCAGGAUUGUGAGCCCAACUGUCUUCUUCUGCCUCCUUGAAAUCGUCUUGGGGUUCAUGGUGACAUAGGGACCCCAGUUUCGGCGCCGGUGAGACUCCUGCUCCGCUUCGUCGGGAAGAUUUGGAGAGCAUCCCGCCAGCUCUCUGCAUGUCUAACAGCCAUGGAAUACAUUCAGAGGGCAUCAGCAUGCAAACCGGGGCCCCGAGACUGCCCCACUCAGGACCAUGGCCUCUCCACUCGAUGAGCAGCUGGCCCUAAUGGAUGCCUCGCAUCAUGAUUUUAGCGGCCGGACAGCUUGCUAGAAGCCCGCCACACACAAUUGGACAGCAGGGGGCGGAGCCUACCCCCUGGGCAAUCGAGCGGGGCACCAACUGGCGGAGGCUAGGAGGAAGGAGGGGAACAACAAAACAUCAGAAUCUGAAAGCAUUAAAGCUGGUGUGUAAGUCGAGUUACUUUAAAGGCAGGUGGAAGCUUGUUAUUGGUCAGAAUAAUGAGUGACGUAGCAUCGGAGUCUCGCUGGCAGAACUUGCGCUAAAGCUUUCAUUCCAGU
ensembl:lncRNA